ACUCAAAUGAAUAGACGGGGGCCCGCACAAGCGGUGGAUCAUGUGGUUUAAUUCGAAGCAACGCGAAGAACCUUACCUGGGUUUGACAUCCCCGGACCGUCGUAGAAAUACGAUUUCUGUAGCAAUACAGCCGGGAGACAGGUGCUGCAUGGCUGUCGUCAGCUCGUGUGGUGACAUGUUGGGUUAAGUCCCGCAACGAGCGCAACCCUUGUUCUUAGUUGCCAGCAUUAAGUUGGGCACUCUAAGGAGACUGCCGUGGUUAACACGGAGGAAGGUGGGGAUGACGUCAAGUCCUCAUGGCCUUUAUAUCCAGGGCGACACACGUGAUACAAUGGACGGUACAGAGGGAAGCGAAGAGGUGACUCGGAGCCAAUCUCAAAAAGCCGUUCUCAGUUCGGAUUGGAGUCUGCAAUUCGACUCCAUGAAGUUGGAAUCGCUAGUAAUCGCGGAUCAGCACGCCGCGGUGAAUACGUUCCCGGGCCUUGUACACACCGCCCGU
rnacentral:rRNA from 1 species